rnacentral:rRNA from 1 species
AAAUUGAAGAGUUUGAUCAUGGCUCAGAUUGAACGCUGGCGGCAGGCCUAACACAUGCAAGUCGAACGGUAACAGGAAGCAGCUUGCUGCUUUGCUGACGAGUGGCGGACGGGUGAGUAAUGUCUGGGAAACUGCCUGAUGGAGGGGGAUAACUACUGGAAACGGUGGCUAAUACCGCAUAACGUCGCAAGACCAAAGAGGGGGGACCUUCGGGCCUCUUGCCAUCAGAUGUGCCCAGAUGGGAUUAGCUUGUUGGUGAGGUAACGGCUCACCAAGGCGACGAUCCCUAGCUGGUCUGAGAGGAUGACCAGCCACACUGGAACUGAGACACGGUCCAGACUCCUACGGGAGGCAGCAGUGGGGAAUAUUGCACAAUGGGCGCAAGCCUGAUGCAGCCAUGCCGCGUGUAUGAAGAAGGCCUUCGGGUUGUAAAGUACUUUCAGCGGGGAGGAAGGGAGUAAGGUUAAUAACCUUAUUCAUUGACGUUACCCGCAGAAGAAGCACCGGCUAACUCCGUGCCAGCAGCCGCGGUAAUACGGAGGGUGCAAGCGUUAAUCGGAAUUACUGGGCGUAAAGCGCACGCAGGCGGUCUGUCAAGUCGGAUGUGAAAUCCCCGGGCUCAACCUGGGAACUGCAUUCGAAACUGGCAGGCUUGAGUCUUGUAGAGGGGGUAGGAAUUCYMGGUGUAGCGGUGAAAUGCGUAGACUGACGCUCAGGUGCGAAAGCGUGGGAGCAAACAGGAUUAGAUACCCUGGUAGUCCACGCGUAAACGAUGUCUACUUGGAGGUUGUGCCCUUGAGGCGUGGCUUCCGGAGCUAACGCGUUAAGUAGACCGCCUGGGGAGUACGGCCGCAAGGUUAAAACUCAAAUGAAUUGACGGGGGCCCGCACAAGCGGUGGAGCAUGUGGUUUAAUUCGAUGCAACGCGAAGAACCUUACCUGGUCUUGACAUCCACGGAAGUUUUCAGAGAUGAGAAUGUGCCUUCGGGAACCGUGAGACAGGUGCUGCAUGGCUGUCGUCAGCUCGUGUUGUGAAAUGUUGGGUUAAGUCCCGCAACGAGCGCAACCCUUAUCCUUUGUUGCCAGCGAUUAGGUCGGGAACUCAAAGGAGACUGCCAGUGAUAAACUGGAGGAAGGUGGGGAUGACGUCAAGUCAUCAUGGCCCUUACGACCAGGGCUACACACGUGCUACAAUGGCGCAUACAAAGAGAAGCGACCUCGCGAGAGCAAGCGGACCUCAUAAAGUGCGUCGUAGUCCGGAUUGGAGUCUGCAACUCGACUCCAUGAAGUCGGAAUCGCUAGUAAUCGUGGAUCAGAAUGCCACGGUGAAUACGUUCCCGGGCCUUGUACACACCGCCCGUCACACCAUGGGAGUGGGUUGCAAAAGAAGUAGGUAGCUUAACCUUCGGGAGGGCGCUUACCACUUUGUGAUUCAUGACUGGGGUGAAGUCGUAACAAGGUAACCGUAGGGGAACCUGCGGUUGGAUCACCUCCUUA